rnacentral:lncRNA from 1 species
CUUUCUAUCUCCUCCAUACCUCUCCUAACCCUCCUCUUCCUCCUCCUUAUCCUGCACCCCAACCCACCAUGUCCUCACCCAUCGAACCCAAAUCCCGCAAGUUCCCACCGCCCUCAACGCCAAAUUGGACCCAGGCACCAAUUCCCGAUCCAGUUGGAGUUUUUGCUCCAGACCUUGGACCAGCGGACUUUCCACCGCCAUGAAAACACGAAAGUUGCAGGUGCGGCUUGACUGGGUUUUGUUUUGGCGUCGUGACAGGGAUCUCCGGUAGCCGAUCUUUGAUACGAGGUGCAUGCAGCGGCCUUGAAUCUUCGGCAGCCAUGACCUCGAAGGGGUGGUAGUCGGCGUUUGUUACAGUUGGGGUAAUAGUCGGCGCCGCAUCCUCUCUCCCUCCGCCAGUGCCCUCCCCAACUCCGUCGCUGCAAUCUGCUGCCGAUUCGCCUUCUCACGUAUCUCCAUCGGCGAUUCCCCCCACCCCAUGUCUCCCAAAACAAACCCCAGCCGCAGCCUCCAUCCAUGUCUCCACAAUUUCUGAGCACGGAUCUGAAACUUUUGGUGGAUAUGGCUGACUUGAAUGCUCUGAUUUGUGAUUGUCUAUAAUUAUUAGUGAUUUUUUUUGUUUUUUUUUGUGUGUGUUAGGAAAUCCUUGAUCAGUUGGCCAUGCUGCAGAAAACAAAGAAGGAACCCUUUGUUGGGCUUGAAGACGGUGGAGAUCAAGGACCUGUAUUGUCUGCCCUCCCAUUUCGGUGCCCUCCUCGUGCCCUCCUAUUUUCUGUGGUCACGGUUAAGCCACGUCAAUAUUUUAUAUUAUUUUUUAAUAAAAAUAAUAAAACAAAAAAAAUAUAUAUAAAAUGUUGACGUGGCUUAACCGUGACCACACAAACAGGAGGGCACCGAAAUGGGAGGGCAGACAAUCCAAGUCUGGAGAUCAAAGGGAGAGAGAAUUUUUUUUUUAAUUUUUAAUUUCCACGUGGACCUUAAUGAUAUGUGAUGCUCAAUCAUUGUUUAUAUAGGUACCACGUUAUCAGUUAACAGGAGAUUUAACAGCUAUAUUAACAAAUGUAUGAGACUGUCCUAAUAUUAACUAUGACUCUGGAUGAAAAAAAAUUUAUGUAUCAAAUGUUGAAAAUCAUAAAACUUGAG